AAAUAAAAAUAACAAUAAAUAUAAUAAAUAUGUUACAGCACUGUAUCUAACAUAAUCGAUGAGAUUGACUCAAAUGUAUUAAUAACGAUCAACGAUGAUGAUGAAGAUAACGCAGAUAGCCAAACAGAUUCGAAUAAAGGAAGAAAAAGAAAAAAAAAUGAUAACAGUGCAAUAGACAGAGUGGUCGAUGCCAUAUGUAAAGAAGACAGAAUAGUUCUUCCUCCGCCACCAGAACCUAACGAAAUGGAUUCAUUUUUAUCUUUAAUAGGAUU